CCUACGGGGCGCUGCAGUGGGGAAUAUUGGACAAUGGGCGAAAGCCUGAUCCAGCCAUGCCGCGUGUGUGAAGAAGGCCUUCGGGUUGUAAAGCACUUUCAGUGGGGAAGAAAGCCUUGGGGCUAAUACCCUCGAGGAAGGACAUCACCCACAGAAGAAGCACCGGCUAACUCCGUGCCAGCAGCCCCGGUAAUACGGAGGGUGCGAGCGUUAAUCGGAAUUACUGGGCGUAAAGCGCUCGUAGGCGGUCUGAUAAGCCGGUUGUGAAAGCCCCGGGCUCAACCUGGGAACGGCAUCCGGAACUGUCAGGCUAGAGUGCAGGAGAGGAAGGUAGAAUUCCCGGUGUAGCGGUGAAAUGCGUAGAGAUCGGGAGGAAUACCAGUGGCGAAGGCGGCCUUCUGGACUGACACUGACGCUGAGGUGCGAAAGCGUGGGUAGCAAACAGGAUUAGAUACCCUUGUAGUC
rnacentral:rRNA from 1 species